AAAAAAAAAAAAAAAAAAUCUACCAAUAACAAAAAAUGAAGUACCCACUAAACCCUGAAAUUUUGUUCCUGCUAAAAAUGGCUGGGUGUGGUGGCCCACACCUGUAAUCCUAGCACUUUGUGGGGCCAGAGCAGCAGGAAUGCUUGAACCCAGGAGUUUGAGACCAGCCUGGGCAAUAUGGUGAGACCCCAUCUCUAAAAAAAAAAAAAAAAUAGAAAAAUUAGCUGGGUAUGGUGGCGCAUGCCUGUGGUUCCAGCUAUUCUGGAGGCUAAGGUGGAAGGAACACUUGAGUCGAGAAGGUUGAGGGAGCAGUAAAUCAUGAUUGAACCACUUAACACCAGCUGGGAUGACAGAGUGAGACCCUGCCUCAAGAAAAAAAGGUUUAUUCUGAUAGCCAAAUGUCUUAUGUGUAUGUCAUUUCCGUUAUAUACAUUCUAAGGAAAGAAGAUCUUCAUCCAAGAUUUGAAAUGUGUUCUAUCAUCCCCUUCUCAAUUGAUGUUAUAUUCAGCCUGUUUUUUGUUAUAUAUUAUUAGCAUAUAAUCAGAAGAUGUUUGAUUAACCCAAAUUCCCCAUGUAAAUUUAUUAUAUAUAAUUUUGUUUUUCUGUUUGCAAAAUAUUAUAUGAUCCUGUGACAUUUUAAGCUGUGGGCCUUUUUAUAAGAACCAUUGCCCAUGGUGUAAGCACUAUUGAGAACUGUCUCCAUAAUCUAAAUUAGGUGAUGGUUUGCCUAAAUAUUUAAAUCAAGGGUAGUUUUAGUGUUUUUCAGUUACUUGCAUUUGCAUUGUUUCUCAUUCACUAUCCUUGUUUUUGUUUUUAAAGUAAGUGAGUGUUAAUUUCCUCAGUUAGGUUUGUUGAUUCAGAUUCAUUAUAGACUUAAUGAUGAGGGCUGAAAUUUAUAGCUUACUUCCACAGUAAAUCUGCAUAUUGUCUUUUUAGUUUGUUUUCUCUGUACACACAUUGUUCUGCAUAACGAAUGAAAAAUCCUUGUAUUUUAGGGUAGGUUUCAGCAAUGCAGAUUUCCAUUGGGUGCCAUGUUGUUUCUUACACUGGCUUUAUAAGCUGCUAAAAUUAUUCCUAUUCCUAAUUGUAUACUAGCUGGUGAUAAUGGUAAAACUAAGGAAAAUAAGCUAACUUUGAAUAGAUGUGUUAUUCCUGUUUAGCACUACUUUAUGAUUAAAAUUUGGUGCUUUUGAAUUUACCUGGCAGUGUAGUCUAGGGCAGUGCUUUUUAGUGUCUAUAGCAAAAAACCCAUGUGGGUGUUUGUUUUUAAUUUUCAGUCUAAUAUAGAUCAGUACUUUUAUAAAGUACAAUAAAAGCUUUAGUAAUGUCAUGCUGCUAUAUUUGCAAACAUUUUUACUUUUUUUAAAAUUAGAUUCCCCUCCCUUCCUUCCUUCCUUUUUUUUUUUUUUUUUUUUUUUUUUUUUUUUUCCUCUUACCUCAUUGCAGAGCAGCAAGAGUCUGCAUACUGUACUUUGAAUAGCACUGUUUUAAGAGAGCGAACACUGGCCUGUGGUUCUCCCAAAACUCUGCCCCUGACUUUAGACAGAUUAAUUAACAUGCUUGGGGCCAAGUUUCCUAUUUUGAAAUAUAAUUUCAAUCAGAAAAUUUCUGAAGUCCUUCUUAAGGCCCUACUUUUUAUUCCAUUAGUAGAAUGUCAGUAGUUGGGACCACAUUUUGAAUGACCACAUAGAUUCAUUCAUUUUUCAACAACUAUUUAUUGAGUGCCUACUGUAUGUUGAUUUAGGUGUCAUAUUGCAAUGAACAAAGUACACAUAAAUCACUAUCUUCAUGGAAUUUACAUUUUAGUGGUUGGGGGGAAAUGUAUCAACAAAAUCAAUGAGUAGAUUAUGUGGUAUGUUAGAGAGUACAAUUGCUCUGGAAGAAAUAAGCCAGGGAGAUAGUUGGGCAGUUCUUGCCGGAAGUGGAGAGUGGCUGAUCAAAGUCCAGAGGUGGUACAUUAUGGCUGACAUGCAAAAUCUGGUAGAAAGAUUGGAGAGGGCAGUGGGCCACCUGGAGGCAGUAUCCCAUACCUCUGACAUGCACUGUGGGUAUGGAGACAGUCCUUCAAAAGCAGGAGCAGCUCCCUAUAUGCAGGCAUUUGACUCACUGCUUGCCAGUCCUGUGACAGAGUACUUGAAGAUCAGUAAAGAGAUUGGGGGAGACAUGCAGAAACAUGCGGAGAUGGUCCAUACAGGUUUGAAGUUGGAGCGAGCUCUCUUGGUUACAGCUUCUCAUUGUCAACACCCAGCAGAUAGCAAGCUUUCCGAUUUGUUGGCACCCAUCUCAGAGCAGAUCAAAGAAGUGAUAACCUUUCGGGAGAAGAACCGAGGGAGCAAGUUGUUUAAUCACCUGUCAGCUGUCAGCGAAAGCAUCCAGGCCCUGGGCUGGGUGGCUGUGGCUCCCAAGCCUGGCCCUUAUGUGAAAGCAUGAAUGAUGCUGCCAUGUUUUAUAUAAACUGAGUCCUCAAAGAGUACAAAGAUGUGGAUAAGAAGCAUGUAGACUGGGUCAGAGCUUAAGUAUAUGGACAGGGCUGCAGGCUUACAUUAAGGAGUUCCAUACCACCAGACUGGCAUGGAACAAAACGGGGCCUGUGGCAGAAGAACUGAGUGGACUGCCUUCUGGACCCUCUGCUGGAUCAGAUCCUCCUUCCCCUCCACCAGGCCCCCCUCCUCCGCCAGUCUCUACCAGUUCAGGCUCAGAUGAGUCUGCUUCCCGCUCAGCACUGUUUGCGCAGAUUAAUCGGGGAGAGCAUCACACAUGCCCUGAAACACAUGUUUGAUGACAUAAAGACUCACAGGAACCCUGCCUUGAAGGCUGAGUGGUCCAGUACACAGUGGCCCAAGCCAUUCUCUGCACCUAAACCCCAAAACAACCCAUCCCCCAAACCAGCCAUAAAGAAAGAGCCAGGUGUACUUGAACUGGAGGGCAAGAAGUGGAGAGUGGAAAAUCAGGAAAAUGUUUCCAACCUGUUGAUUGAUGACACAAAGCUGAAAUAGGUGGCUUACAUUUACAAGUGUGUCAACACGACGUUGCAAAUCAAGGGUGAAAUUCACUCCAUUGCAGUAGAUAACUCUAAGAAACUUGGCCUGGUAUUUGAUGACAUUGUGGAGAUAAUCAACAGUAGGGAUGUCAAAGUUCAGGUAAUGGGUAAAGUGACAAGCAUUUCCAUCAACAAAACAGAUGGCUGCCAUGCUUACCUGAGCAAAAAUUCCCUGGAUUGUGAAACAGUCACUGCUAAAUCUUCUGAGAAGAACGUCCUCAUUCCUACAGAAGGCAGUGGCUUUAAUGAAUUCCUAAGCAGUUCAAGACCCUAUGGAAUGGCAGAAGUUGGUCACCACAGUGACAGAAAUUGCUGGAUAAGUGAAGUGUCACUGGGUUCUUUGCCCUCCCUUCACACCAUGGGAUAAAUCUGUAUCAAGAUGGUUCUUUUGUAGAUUUUCUCUACCUUUCUGCUCUUAAAACUGCUUCUCUGCUCUGAGAAGCACAGCUACCUGCCUUCACUGAAAUAUACCUCAGGCUGAGAUUUGGGGUGGGAUAGCAGGUCAGUUGAUCUUCCCGCAGGAAGGUACAGCGCUUCCAUAUCAGCUCAACCAUGCCACCAGUCCAUAAGGAACUGCCAACCAGGACAACAUUUUAGCUUUGAGCUUUUGGGCAUUAUUCUACCAACAAACAGUCCAUUGAGAAGAAAACAGUCCCAGGAAUUAACAGAUCAGAAUGUUCACACUGGUUAAUCUUUUUCUAACAAUGAGCGUGAAGAUAGUAGAAGCUGGUGUGUUUUCAGAUGGUUCUUCUAACCAAACUAAUUUUUUACUGUUGACAAGUGAGGCAAGGGUUGCACUGGACCAAAGGCCAAGGCUUAGCCAUCCAGCAUUCCACACAAAAUUGUUCCCUAUAAGCAUUCCUUUUAUUCCCUAUUCCAUCGUGGAUCUGCCCCAACCAUGCUGUGGCAGUGCCCUUCGUCCAGACCAGUUAAAGGAGUCUUGGACACUUUCUUUCUCUAGGAUUCCUGCCCAGCAGUUAAAAGGAAAAAAAAAAAGAAAAAGAAAGAAAAAACACAUCAUUCCGAGAAGUCUGGCAUUCCUGAAUCCUCUUUGCCUGCUAGGUGCCUGUUACCUGUCUUCACUGUCUCCUUUUCCCUGUCAUGCUCAUCAGCUAUGGCUUCUGUCCAAGCACUUGAACAGAGGACUAAAAACUCCAUUGCAGGCUGGUUUUAGGUCUUGAUUUAUGUAAGAAUCUUACACAGCACUGCUAAUGUAAAGUUCAGGUUUUUCCCUCUAGGACAAACGCUUACCAAAUGUGCAACUUUUUUUGGUGGAAAGAGAGAUUGUCCUGUGAUUUCUACCCAUUUCCUGAGGCCUGUGGAAAUAAACCUUUAUGUACUUAAAGUUUAAAAAAAAAAAAAAAAAA